rnacentral:lncRNA from 1 species
GCUAUGGCACAGGACCAUAACUCAGUAUUUCAACAAUUGCACUUGCCUGGGUGAAGCUUUAUCUGGCAGUAAUUCCCAUGGGUGCAUCUAUUUUUUGUUAAGAUUGCCUGCCUCUUGAAAUAGGUUCCCUGGUCUGGAUGGAGGCAACUAUGGAUACCUAAUUCCAUUGGACUCUGACCAAUGUGUGGUAGCAGCUUGUGAGUAGGAAGACGGAAGAAUCUCCAUCUCUUUUGGCAUCAUGGAACUG